CAUAAAUGCAGCCAGUCCCAUGACUGGGUCCGUAAGCUACAUGACGAGGGGGGGAUGAAAGGGCGGGCCUACACCGGCCGACUCCAUCUUGUUCUGUGUCCUUCACCUUGACCACACCUCCUCCCCUUGAGUCCAUGCUUGUUCUGUCUCC